GAUGAAGAACGUAGCGAAAUGCGAUAAGUAAUGUGAAUUGCAGAAUUCAGUGAAUCAUCGAAUCUUUGAACGCAUCUUGCGCUCCUUGGUAUUCUGAGGAGCAUGCCUGUUUGAGUGUCAUUAAAUUCUCAACUACACUGACUUUGAAUUGGUGUGGCUUGGAUUUGGGGGGAAAAUUGUUGUGGGCUUUUUGUAUAGUCUGCUCCCCUGAAAUUGAUUAGCGGUACCUUUGUGGAACUGUCUACAGGUGUGAUAAUUAUCUACAUCUUAGACAUCUGCUGGAAUGCUGCUUUCUAAACCUUACUUGUAUUGACAUUCUUGACCUCAAAUCAGGUAGGACUACCCGCUGAACUUAAGCAUAUCAAUAAGCGGAGGA
rnacentral:misc_RNA from 1 species